UGGGGAAUUUUGGACAAUGGGGGCAACCCUGAUCCAGCGACGCCGCGUGAAGGACGACGGUCUUCGGAUUGUAAACUUCUUUUGAAGGGGAUGAAUGACCUGGUGAAGAGCCAGGGGUGACAGUACUCUUCGAAUAAGCCACGGCUAACUACGUGCCAGCAGCCGCGGUAAUACGUAGGUGGCAAGCGUUGUCCGGAUUUAUUGGGUUUAAAGGGUGCGUAGGCGGCCCUGUAAGUCAGCGGUGAAAUACGGCAGCUCAACUGUCGAGGUGCCGUUGAUACUGCGGGGCUUGAGUGCUGAUGAGGCAGGCGGAAUUGACGGUGUAGCGGUGAAAUGCUUAGAUAUCGUCAAGAACACCGAUAGCGAAGGCAGCCUGCCAAGGAGCAACUGACGCUGAGGCACGAAAGUGCGGGGAUCAAAC
rnacentral:rRNA from 1 species